rnacentral:rRNA from 1 species
GAACGCUGGCGGCGUGCCUAACACAUGCAAGUCAACUUGACUGAAGGAGCAAUCUGACAGUAGAGUGGCGCAAGGGUGCGUAACGCGUAAGUAACUUGCCCAAGGUAAGGAAUAACGUCGAGAAAUCGGCGCUAAUACCUCAUAAUGCAGCGGAUCCGCAUGGAUAUGUUGUUAAAGGUUUACCGCCUUGGGAUAGGCUUGCGUCUGAUUAGCUAGUUGGUGUGGUAACGGCACACCAAGGCUACGAUCAGUAACUGGUCUGAGAGGAUGAUCAGUCACACUGGAACUGAGACACGGUCCAGACUCCUACGGGAGGCAGCAGUGAGGAAUAUUGGGCAAUGCUCGAAAGAGUGACCCAGCAACGCCGCGUGGAGGAUGAAGGUAUUCUAUAUCGUAAACUCCUGUGAGAGCAGACGAAAGACAGAUUAUUAAUCUGGAUGACUGUAUGCUCAGAGGAAGCCCCGGCUAACUACGUG